GACAGAGGGUGCAAACGUUGUUCGGAAUUACUGGGCGUAAAGCGCGUGUAGGCGGCCAUCUAAGUCGGGCGUGAAAUCCCACGGCUCAACCGUGGAAGUGCACUCGAAACUGGAUGGCUAGAGUCCUGGAGAGGAAGGUGGAAUGCUUGGUGUAGAGGUGAAAUUCGUAGAUAUCGAGCGGAACACCGGUGGCGAAGGCGGCCUUCUGGACAGUGACUGACGCUGAGACGCGAAAGCGUGGGGAGCAAACAGG
rnacentral:rRNA from 1 species